GGAUUAGAUACCCUGGUAGUCCACGCCGUAAACGAUGAGUGUUAGGUGUCUGGAGUAAAUCUGGGUGCCGCAGCUAACGCAUUAAACACUCCGCCUGGGGAGUACGCACGCAAGUGUGAAACUCAAAGGAAUUGACGGGGACCCGCACAAGCAGCGGAGCAUGUGGUUUAAUUCGAAGCAACGCGAAGAACCUUACCAAGUCUUGACAUAUUUUGGAAGCACUUAGAGAUAAGUGCCUAUAUCUUCGGAUAACUGAAAUACAGGUGGUGCAUGGUUGUCGUCAGCUCGUGCCG
rnacentral:rRNA from 1 species